ensembl:lncRNA
CGUCCUCCUCCCUCUCGGAUCAGUCCGCAUGUUCACGGUGCAUUUUUUAUGGAAUAUGUUGAGCAAACCUGGAGAAGCGUCAGUUCAAGAUAUUAUUGUUGUCAUUGCUGUGGAUCUUUACCUGAUACACUGACUUGGCUCGGGACCAGCACUCCUGUUGUUGGACAGAAAGACAUCAACUCAGUGACUUGAGAUAUGACUGCACUAUGGUGUUGCUGAUCACUCCAGUUAAUUCUACAAGACAUGCUGUGACAACAGGAGAGAUGAGUCCUCCGUCACAGAUGGUGUGGUCAGUGAAGAUGGUCGCCUGCAGGUUCAAGCUCAUUGCAUCUCCAACCCACAUCCACUGCCACUGUACUUAAGGGAAGUUAAAGACUUUCUUCUGCACCUACAUUUGGAUCACCUCGAUCCAUGACAGUCAUUCAGGCAGUAAUGCCUGGACUGGAAACAAGCCAUCCUUAAAAUAAUACAACAUUCCAGCUCAUGUGUUGGAAUGGAAAACAAAUGUGUUGUUUAAAUCAGAGACUGCACUUGUGACAGAACAACAAAUAUUUUAUUUUGAUUAUAUAAGUAAUGUAAGUACAAAACAAACUGUG